AUUCUUUUGAUUUUGGAGAAAUAAAGAUUGGAGAUUUAUUUAUACAUGUUUGUGUAAGCUUAUAAGUGAGUUAAUACUGAAAAAUAUCAAUUUAUAUCAGGUUAAUUAAAAUAAAAUUUUAAUUAACCUAAGACGUAAAGCAUAAAAGCCACGUUUUUAAUGAAACAAAGAAAAAUCUAUGACAGCAGUAAAUAAUACUAUACAAUUAAUGUAAAUUAGAUAUGGUUAAUUUCCUAAGUCUUGUCUAAUUAAGUGCCAGCAGACGCGGUUAAACUUAAGAGGCAAAUCUUUAUAAUAAAAUAGGUUAAAAUAUGUGUAGAAAUAAUUAGAAUGUGUUUUUAAAAUUUUUGAAUUGGUUAAAUAAACAAAAAUCUUAAAUUUAAAAAAGAAAUUAAUACACAAAAUAUUUUGAAACAUGAAAAAAAGGAAAUUAAAUAGGAUUAGAUACCCUAGUAAACCUUUUUGUAAAUAAAGAAUUAUUCUAUCUGAACAGUACACUUUUAAAAGUGAAAAUCAAAAAUUUUGGCUGUUUAUUUUCUAAUUAGAGGAAUAUGUAAUUUAAUUCGAUAAUCCGCGAAAAACCUUACCUAUUCUUGAAAUUCAAGUGCUGCAUGGUCGUCGUCAAUUUAAAUUUAUAAUUUAAAUUUAAUCCUAAAAAGGAUAAAGUCAGAUAUUAUGGCCUUUAUGAAUAGGGAUAUUAUGUAUUACAAUUCUUAAAUUAAUAUAAAUUUAAAAGUGAAAAAUUAAAGAAGUUUUAAUUAGAAAGAGAAUUUAAUAGUAAUUGAAGAAAUAAUGCUUCAGUGAACCAGUUCAAAUAUGAGUACAAAUUGCCCGUCGCCUUUAUCAAUAAUUUUUAUUAUAAAAUUAAAGAUAGAGCAAGUCGUAACAUAGUGGGGGGAAGGGAACUUCUCCCUGUAGAUUUUU
rnacentral:rRNA from 1 species